rnacentral:piRNA from 1 species
CCAGAGAUGAAGUCAGGAGGAUG